rnacentral:rRNA from 1 species
AUGGCGGAAUCGAACUCGUACGAGGAGCAGCGCCGGAGGCAGAUUGAGGAGAACCGCCGGAAGCUGGAGGAGAUCCGCCUGCACCACCUCUCCGCCGCCGUCCGCGAGGCCGCCGCCAGGCCCAAGCCCAACCCCAAGCCCAGGCCGGUCCGUCAGAUCCUCUCCCUUCUUCUUCCUUGCCUCCGGUCGGUCUUCCGUUUCCUUUUCGCCCGUGCCCGUAUAUAUCACUGGUCCGCUCGUCCGGUGUCGCAGAAGCGCAAGGCCCCGGAGCCCGGCGAUCUCCGGCGGUCCGGCCGCGUCGCCGGCCUCCCGGAGCAGCCCAACUACCUCGAGGGCGCAAAGCAGCGCGACUACCAGGGACUGUACGCCAAUGAAGUUUGGAAAGGGGCAACCGACGAGGAGAAGGCCACCGCCGCCGCCAAGGCCGAGGAUCUCCAGCGCCAGAUUCACCAGAUCCGCUGGCCCGCCUUCGUCAAGCCCAUCACCCACGCCUGCGCCAGCAGGGCAAACUUUAUGACAAUCCCGAAGCAGUUCACCGAGUACCUCCCGGCGCACGAUGAGCCAGUCGUCGUGGUGGAUGAGGCGGAUGACGAGUCCCACAUGAUGUACAAUGCCAGCAGACAGGGCAGACACUGCUACCUCAGCAAGGGGUGGAGAGAGUUUGCCGUCGACUAUGACCUUGAAAAUGGCGAUUGCUUGGUUUUUCAGCUGAUAGAGAGCGCAAAGUUCAAGGUCUACAUUUUUAGAGCAACCCCAGACUAUGAAAGCGACCAAACUUCCGAGGACUCUGAGGAUGAACAGAAGUGA